ensembl:snoRNA
GCAAUUUUAAGAGUGCCCCCAAAAUAAUUUUAAUAAAAUGUACCCCAUGCCAGAGCAAACUGUGGCCCUGAACUAUUGCCUGGCCUCUGUAUUCACAGGCUGCUGGCACUGAAGUGGGUUGCACAGAA